rnacentral:rRNA from 1 species
UACGUAGGGCGCAAGCGUUGUCCGGAAUUAUUGGGCGUAAAGAGCUCGUAGGCGGUUUGUCGCGUCUGCUGUGAAAACCUCAGGCUCAACCUGGGGCUUGCAGUGGGUACGGGCAGACUAGAGUGCGGUAGGGGUGACUGGAAUUCCUGGUGUAGCGGUGGAAUGCGCAGAUAUCAGGAGGAACACCGAUGGCGAAGGCAGGUCACUGGGCCGCAAGCUGAC